CCCUGGCUUCUUUGCUGAUAUCCACGGCUGGUCACCCAGCCGAAUUCAUGAAGAAAAACAUAUCUUCUCUCGCUCGCUCUAUCUAUCUCGGUCUCUCUGUUUCUCUCUCUCUCUCUCUCUCUCUCUCUCUCUCUCUCUCUCUCUCUCUCUCUCUCUCUCUCUCUCUCUCUCUCUCUCUCUCUCUCUCUCUCUUUCACCGUAGUCGGACGAGGCGCAUAAGGAGCACAUAUAGCAUGGCAGCAGUCGGGCAAACUUGGAGAGGUGACAAUGGGAAAAUUGUGUUGUGCAGCCCGAGUUGGGAAGGAUGCUGGCCGUUGUAGACAUGUGACCUUAACUGAUGAGAUGAUACCGUCGGCGAUUUGACUAAAGGGUGGUGGUGGAACGGGGAAGGGGGGGGGGGGGGGCGUACUGUGCGUUAAUAGCUAGGCGUGUGAAGUAAAGCUAUGGUGCGCUCAAUGUUUUUCUCUCUCGCUCCAUAGCCACCCGCUCCGCCCCCACUCCCCCUUUCGCAACAUUGACGCAACGAAAAAACACUGGAACAAAAGGAACAACUUCCUUGAAGCUUGCUGAAACUGCACACAGUCGGCGAAUGGAUCAUUGGCGUGAACUUGCCGUGGUGGAAAUAUCUAAGUGAGAACGUGAGCAGGUUGUGCUGCUGGCUGGCUGGCGAGAGGCGAACCCGUCCACUCCUCAUUAUUACGCACCAUGGCGAUCACGACCAAGACGAGACGAGGGAACGGACGGCGUUCAUGGAGUAGGACCACGCAGUCUCUUACGCUCCACUGUUGCUUAUGCUUUUGUUCUUUGUCUGGCCGUCGCUGCCGUUAUUCAGACUCUUUUGCGUGUCUGACGAUGGAGUGACUGUUCGAGUCUAAAAGCUCUUAAGAUGAUUCAAAAGAUGUACCAUGGUGAGCAGUGUUUUUUUUUUUUUUGCAAUUGUUCCCAUUAAGUUGUUUUCUAAAAACUUUCAAAACUCCUCUCUCUCAAUGCCAUAGCCUACCUGGAAUGAGUUAGUCAAGUCAGUGCCCCAUCAGCACACUAUGGAACUAGCCGAGAGAACGAGAGCGAGUGGAGGAACUGCAUCGCGUCAGAGCAUAUUGCAAGCUGCAGUGUUGCGAACAUCCUGUUAUGUGAUGCAGCCAUGUCUGUUGCUGGUGUGAAGGGCCAUCUUUUGAGUCACAUGGGAGAGGAGAGGGGAAAGAGAGAGAAAGAGUGAGAGGGGGGAAAAAAAUCCCAUAAAACUCCUCCUUGAAUGAAAAGCAGCUGAGUGUAACAGCCAGCCAUGCACGCAAGUCAUCUCACAUGAAAUCAAAUUAAAUUGGUCCAAAUCUGCCCCAGCGUGGCAAGUUUGAAGCAGCAGCGGUAGUCCCAACCCCUUGGUCUGACAGUGAGGCCCUUGAGUACUACCCCCCCCCCCCCCCCCCCCCCCCCCCCACUUCGUCUCACUGUCCACUCCCCAGGCCUUGCUCCACAAUAGCCAACCUAAUGAAGUGAUACAUUAUAAAGGGAUUUUUAUUUACAAUCCCCCCUUCCACCUAGAAAAAAUAAGUGAGUCGCAGGCGAUACGCUAUAGUGUGAGAGUUGCAUGGUUCAUUUGUGUAAUGACAUGUGACUUGUGUUUUUGUGAGUCAUACGAAUCUCCUCCUUAAUGGAAGGCAGUGUGUGCUCAUGUGACAGUGACACAAUGCUGGUUGAACUGUGUAGUAUUCAGGCUGGGCUACUGUGGGCCUUUUCCUACCAGAGAUGCAAGAAGGCCGUUUUAGUUUGCAUUUGUGCUGUGAGAGGAUCUAAGCGAACCCUAAGUUUGUUGUCCAUCAAGACCAGACUAAUCACUGUGCUAUGGUGGCUCCAGGAACAUGUUUGUGUGUGUGCGUGUAUGUGUGUGAGUGCGUGCAGACAGGCGCUGUGUUUGCGUGUGGGAGACUGCCACUUGUGCCUUUUUAUACUGCAUCGUAGUGUUCCCUAUGGCCACGCCGGCGUUUCUGCUGGCUCAUCUCUGCCGCUCCACAUGCCUGUUUAACAACACUAUGCUCCUCCUUACUGGCUUCCUGUCCAAACCAGUUUAUCUGUAAACAAGUGUGUUUUUUUUCCUCUCCGCCCCAUUGUCCACACUACACCAGCAGGCAUACACAAUGGACGCCCUCUCUGUCAUAGUGUGCUUUUGUACUUCAUGAAGUUAAGUCUCACUCGUUUUUUAUUGAGCCAAAUUCAAAGUCCUUAUUAUCCUGUGAGGGCACGUUGAGUAGAAUUACAUGAGGUUACAUUAAAACUUAGCUUUAAAAUGUGGCACAGUGUAAUACUUAGAUUAACAUACAUGAUCCGAAUAUAGCUGUAGUUUUGUCAGAAUAUUAUUUUUCACAAUGUCCUUAAUGUGUUUUAAAGGUGUUAUAGUGUUUCAAUAUAUAUGCUGCAAAAUUAUGAUUAAAUAAAUAAAUAUCUAGCCAUGAUA